UACGUAGGGGGCAAGCGUUGUCCGGAUUUAUUGGGCGUAAAGAGCGUGUAGGCGGCUAGAUAGGUCCGUUGUGAAAACUCGAGGCUCAACCUCGAGACGUCGGUUGAAACCGUUUGGCUAGAGUCCGGAAGAGGAGAGUGGAAUUCCCGGUGUAGCGGUGAAAUGCGCAGAUAUCGGGAAGAACACCCGUGGCGAAGGCGGCUCUCUGGGACGGUACUGACGCUGAGACGCGAAAGCGUGGGGAGCGAGCAGG
rnacentral:rRNA from 1 species